UACGUAGGGUGCGAGCGUUAAUCGGAAUUACUGGGCGUAAAGCGUGCGCAGGCGGUGAUGUAAGACAGAUGUGAAAUCCCCGGGCUCAACCUGGGAACUGCAUUUGUGACUGCAUCGCUGGAGUGCGGCAGAGGGGGAUGGAAUUCCGCGUGUAGCAGUGAAAUGCGUAGAUAUGCGGAGGAACACCGAUGGCGAAGGCAAUCCCCUGGGCCUG
rnacentral:rRNA from 1 species